CCCAAGCCCCACUCCGAGCCACGCCCCCAACCCCCCAGGUGGGUGGGCCGAUUUCGAGCCCCGCCCAAGUGGAUACGCCAUUGCCGAGCCGAGGCUCUGGGCUCCCGGGUCCCGGGUAUGUGCCGCGUCCUGGGCAGGAUCUUCCGCCUGGGGCUGUCUCCAGAUCUCCGCUGACAGCCGCGGGGGUUCACCAACGGUUGUCAUCGAGCGUCCACUGGCGUCAGGUUCUGAGCCGGACACUUCCCGAAGGUCACCGCUGCAUGCACACCUGAUGGUAGAGCGCGCCCCGCUGCAAGUCACCGGCUCGCAGCCUGCGGACAGGCCUCCGGAGCCGCCAAGGAGCCCAUCCUUGCACGACUCGGAAGGACGCGGUCUCAACUCAAGGCCCCUCACCUGCAAACCCGGGGAGACAGAGGUGGCAGCGUGAUGUGGACGCUCCUGGUCGCUGCGCCGAGAAGGCAGACUUUGGAGCCAGACCCUCCAGCUUCAACUUCCAGCAGACGCUUCUCCCCUCAGUGUGGGCCUGAGCAACGGGGGAUGGGGGAAUGAAUGAUGCAGACCCACCCCAGGGCUGUUCUAAGAAACGGAAUUUGUAGGGAGCCACCUAGUCAGGAACCUGACUCGGGAAGUACUCAGCGAAUGACGGACAUUUUUAUCUUUCUCAAACAUUGUUAUCCUUUUCAUAUCCAUAUGUCAUCCUUGCUCAAACGCUUAAAAAUGCCUUCUAUGCACCAAGUCCUGUGCUAGACUUAGCAGAUACAGAUAUUAAUUAGUGUACUUUAAAUUAAAGCAGGUGUUUGCCGCUCAAGGUCUGUCUCCUGGAUCACAAGCUGAAGUGUCUGGGCAUUGUUGCCAAGCGAUGCUGGCCACUGCUUGGCUAAGUCUAAGCCACCAGGGUACCCUGUUAAGAAAAGGCUGCAUGGGGCGAGGGGUGGAGGGCGGAGGGGAGGGGGGAGCGGUGAGCGGAAGUGUGAAGUCUUCCGAGGUGGUUUCCUUGAGUUCCGGUUGUGAGCUUACCAAGAACAGGUGCUAAGAGGUCCAGGAACACACCUUUCAUUCAUGUAUUUGUUCAUUCAAUAAAUAUUUGAAAGACUCCAUAUAAAUAUGAAUUUGCACCCCCUGAUCCUGGGUCUGGAACAGAGGUAAGGAUCCAGCUCUCCCCAGGUUACCAGCUGAAUUCAUAUUGCAGCCAUGCUCAGAAGGUGCCUGCAUCCUCAGAGAUCAGCCCAAUACUGAAACUGUCCACAGGGUGAAAUGUUCACUCACCUCGUGAACAUUUACAGAGCACGCUGAACCAGGCGCGGCCUAGAUGUGGGGAACAGGAGACUGACAAAGCUUCACCGUUCGCCCAGCUCCCAGCCUGGAGCGGGGAAGAGAAACCGACUAUCACAAUGCCGGCCCUCUAGAGUGUGUGACGGAGUGUCCUGGGAACACAGAAGAGGGGGAACCAGCUCUCCGUCUGGCAUCGUGAGGGCUUCACAGAGGGAAACAUCUGGGCUGGGUCUCAGGAUGUGCAGUUUUCCAAGCAGAGAAGGGAGAAGCCCAGACCAUUUGGUAGAGCGGCAGGAAAAUGAGAAUCCCAGAUUUCACUCGCUUUCAUUCAUUCAUUUCAUUCCUUCAGAUUGCCAAAUUAGUAAGAGGAAAAUUGUAAACAACCUCCAAUGACCAGCAAAAAAAAA
ensembl:lncRNA